GGUCGCGCAUGGUGUGUGUGUAUCUUUUGAGUGGUCAGAAGUUGUCCAGAAUCUUCAUUUUAUGGAUACCAAAUUGAGUAAUGAGUGAUGGGUUAUAUCGGAAUGGGUUGUUGGUGUAGAACCAAAUUCAGCAAUUUACCUUGUUCGCCUUAUCUGCAAUUAGGUAGGAAGCAUGAACUACCAUACUUACAAAGUGUUCUACCCACCAAAUUCUUUGAGGGAUUUCAAGCGAAUACAAGGAUUUAUGCAAGUAAAAGCUCGCCUAAAAAGUUGAGGAAAGCAAAAGAAGUACAGAAACUUGUGAGGCCACAACUAAUUGAAGGUCCACCAGAUGAACCCGAUGGACUUGCUGAGAAAUCUUCUCCAACGGGUUCUAUUAAUAACUUGGAGUCACAGGCUUCAAUUGCUAUUGCUUCAAGAAGUUCUGUUCUGCAGGCAUGCACUGUGACUUCUGGUUUCAUAGCUUUCAUGGGCGUAAUAAUUCGACAGGGUUCUCGUUUGGCAUCAGCACAAGGAUGGCCUAUAGUUGAUUGCUCUUCUGAAAUAUCAUUUAAUUUCGAGAUGUGGCAUUUGCAAGUAGUUGCGGGUUUAGUCAUACUCAUAUCAUCUUCUCGGUUCUUACUACUGAAAACAUGGUCUGAUUUUGCCGAGUCUAGUGAGGCAUCCAAUCAACAGGUCUUAACAUCAUUAGAGCCAUUGGAUUAUGCGUUAGUGGCCUUUCUUCCCGGCAUUAGUGAGGGUGUGUCAAUUCAUAGGAACUCCUAUUUCGUGGUGCAUUGCUUCCACUUUUCGGAAUCAACUUGCAGAAUGCUAUGGCAGUCGCUGCCUUAUUUGGGAUUUUGCAUUUGGGUAGUGGUCGAAAGUUUUCCUUUGCAAUCUGGGCCACAUUUGUUGGGCUCGCUUAUGGUUAUGCGACGAUAAUAUCCUCUAGCCUUAUCGUGCCCAUGGCUUCUCAUGCAAUUAACAAUUUGAUAGGAGGUGUUAUAUGGCGCGUUACACACGAAAGCCAUCAUCAAAAGAGAGAGGUUUAGUAUUCGGGUUCUAUAAAUGGAUCUUUCUGAGAUGAAGAAACGCAGAGAUUCUUGCAUCAAGUUUCGGUGUUUCUGAAAAACAUAAAAAGGUAAGAGCUUUUAAUUCUUUUUUGUGGGGGCGAUUGAUGAUUUGCUUGAAUUCGGUUGAAAUCGAGUGGCUAGCAUUUUAAAGUUCACACCAUUGUAUCUAGACACCUUUAAGCUUUAAACAACAAUAGCAAGUGUAGCAUUAGAGCAACUCCAACCUUUAACACCAAAAAAUAUCUUGCAAAUUUGUGGGACCAUGGACACCAAAAGUCGCUUCAAAUCCAAGCGUACAACAUUUAUGUCGUUUGAACAGGAGCCCAACAUAUUUUCCGUUUCUCUCCCAUUUCUGGCAAAAAGCAGUUGUCUUUGCUGGCCGGUUGGAGUUAAAAGAACAGAAAAAAAAACUAUUUUAGCGUACGAUUGGAGUUGCUCUUAGGAUGGACAUUGAAUUUAUACCUUAUGCAUGUCUGAGUUGUACCACUAUUUAUGCACAAAGUCUUUCAAUUUAUGCAUAUAUUUUCGUGGGA